CAGCAGCCACGGUAAUACGUAGGGUGCAAGCGUUAAUCGGAAUUACUGGGCGUAAAGCGUGCGCGGGCGGUUAGAUAAGCCAGAUGUGAAAUCCCCGAGCUCAACUUGGGAACUGCGUUUGGAACUGUUUAACUAGAGUGCGUCAGAGGGGGGUGGAAUUCCGCGUGUAGCAGUGAAAUGCGUAGAGAUGCGGAGGAACACCGAUGGCGAAGGCAGCCCCCUGGGAUGACACUGACGCUCAUGCACGAAAGCGUGGGGAGCAAACAGGAUUAGAUACCCCCGUAGUCCCUGUCUCUUAUAC
rnacentral:rRNA from 1 species